CCUACGGGGGGCAGCAGUGGGGAAUAUUGGACAAUGGGCGAAAGCCUGAUCCAGCCAUGCCGCGUGUGUGAAGAAGGCCUUCGGGUUGUAAAGCACUUUCAGUGGGGAAGAAAGCCUUGGGGCUAAUACCCUCGAGGAAGGACAUCACCCACAGAAGAAGCACCGGCUAACUCCGUGCCAGCAGCCGCGGUAAUACGGAGGGUGCGAGCGUUAAUCGGAAUUACUGGGCGUAAAGCGCGCGUAGGCGGUCUGAUAAGCCGGUUGUGAAAGCCCCGGGCUCAACCUGGGAACGGCAUCCGGAACUGUCAGGCUAGAGGGCAGGAGAGGAAGGUAGAAUUCCCGGUGUAGCGGUGAAAGGCGUAGAGAUCGGGAGGAAUACCAGUGGCGAAGGCGGCCUUCUGGACUGACACUGACGCUGAGGUGCGAAAGCGUGGGUAGCAAACAGGAUUAGAUACCCGAGUAGU
rnacentral:rRNA from 1 species